AUACGUAGGGGGCGAGCGUUGUCCGGAAUUAUUGGGCGUAAAGGGUGCGUAGGCGGCAUUUUAAGUCAUUUGUGAAAUUCUACGGCUUAACCGUAGACUUGCAGGUGAAACUGGGAUGCUUGAGUGCAGGAGAGGAGAACGGAAUUCCUGGUGUAGCGGUGAAAUGCGUAGAUAUCAGGAGGAACACCAGUGGCGAAGGCGGUUCUCUGGACUGUAACUGACGCUGAGGCACGAAAGCUGGGGUAGCGAACAGGAUUAGAUACCCUGGUAGUCCCAGCCGUAAACGAUGGAUACUAGGUGUAGGCAUCGAGGAAGAUGUCUGUGCCGCAGUUAACGCAUUAAGUAUCCCGCCUGGGGAGUACGGUCGCAAGGCUGAA
rnacentral:rRNA from 1 species